AAGGAAAACAUCUGCUUAUUCUGACAGUAAACCACGAACCUCCUGUCCCACCAAUGUUUCUGCUUUGUAAAGAUGCAUGCUGUAAGCUGUCUCCUUUCACAUCCAUGUCCAGAAAACAGCAGAUCAGCUGCUUUCUAAAAUGGUUCCUAGUAAGCAGGUCUCUAUGAAAAAGACCUCUCAAAUUCAGCCACAAGAUCAGCAUUUUAUAUGCCUUACAUGCAGUGCCUUAGGUCUAAUACACAUCAGUGUACAGCAGUAAGAUUUCCAUACAGUAAUUGCAAACCCCAUGCAAUAGGAAAAAAAAAAAAAAAAAAAAAAAAAAAAAAAAAAAAACCAAAA